UACGUAGGGUGCAAGCGUUAAUCGGAAUUACUGGGCGUAAAGCGUGCGCAGGCGGUUUUGUAAGUCUGUCGUGAAAUCCCCGGGCUCAACCUGGGAAUUGCGAUGGAGACUGCAAGGCUGGAGUCUGGCAGAGGGGGGUAGAAUUCCACGUGUAGCAGUGAAAUGCGUAGAGAUGUGGAGGAACACCGAUGGCGAAGGCAGCCCCCUGGGUUAACACUGACGCUCAGGCACGAAAGCGUGGGGAGCAAACAGG
rnacentral:rRNA from 1 species